AUACUUACCUGGCAGGAGAUACGAUGCCAUGAUCAUGAAGAUGGUUUUCCCAAGACAAGACUUAUCCAUUGCACUUCAGAUGUGUUCACCCCUGACAUUUCCCCAAAUGUGGGAAACUCAACUACAUAAUUUAUGGAAAUGGGGACUGUGUUCACACCCUCUCCUG
ensembl:snRNA U1 U1 spliceosomal RNA